rnacentral:lncRNA from 1 species
UUUGAAAACUGAAUUUUAAUAUAAUUAUUUUCUUUUGUAAUCUUAUGUAUUUUAUUUUAGGUAUUUCAAAACAGUCUUCUGAGGGGAUUUGUGGAUUUCAUCAGACUGCCAAAGGGGUCAUAGCACCAAAAAUACCAUUACAUGAUUAUUAUGUUUUAAGCCUCUUGAUCAGCCCUUGGAGAAGAUGGAACAAAGCUGUGUGCUCUUUGAGUUUUGGGAGACAGCUGUCAGUCUCUUUCGAAACAACCCAGGAUGCUAUACUGCUCGAGAGCAGCACUGGGGCGUGAUCUUCAGAGGUCUCUAGAGCCUAAAGUGGUCUGUGUGCCCACCCGAAUGGAGGGAGGUAAGUAAUCUUUGAAUGCACACACAAUUUGACUACGUGCUGUUGCC